CACCGCGGUUAUACGAGAGACCCAAGUUGAUCGCCAGCGGCGUAAAGCGUGGUUAAGGUGUCUCGAAACUAAAGCCAAACAACCUCAAAGCUGUUAUACGCGAAUGAGAAAAUGAAGCCCAACUACGAAAGUGGCUUUAAACCCCUGACCCCACGAAAGCUACGACA
rnacentral:rRNA from 1 species